UCCUAAUCUACCAUUCUUCUGAUUCUAAUUCUUCGCCGUAAGCCUCGCGACUAUAUCUGGAAACAGGAACAAAAGCAUGGAAACAAAUAGAUCUGGAAAAUUCAGUAUUAUAACUUGCAUAAGCGGGGAAGAAAGAUCUAUAGUAUAGGAAUGUAUCAACUCCAAAUGAUAGAAGAUAAGUUUCUAUUCAAAGAUUUGAAGGCAUUUUUUUUUUUUUUUGAAUUUUAUAGUUCACACACACACACACAUAUAACUGCAAAUCCCACUUAUACUUACAUUCUUUAAUUCUCACAAAGAUCAUCCAAAGUCCUAAAGCUUCUUUCAUAUUCACCAAUAUUCAUCAUGUAUUUGAAUGUUCCACUCAGUUUGAAUGCUUGCAUGUUCCUUUUCCUAUAUUCUAUAUAUUAUAAAUAGUAUAAAUUGUUUUGUGCCAUUUUUUAAACUUGCAUACAUGCUUUAAACUUGGAUUUGAGAAUUCCACUUCUUGAGAUUAUUACUUGCUUUAAUUCUCACAAUGGUAAUUCUGAGCUAUCUAUUUCCAUAAGGAUGUAUUUGAAUGUUAUCCAAAUAGCAUCUGCACACUCAAUUUCCGUUUCCUUUUCUUAUAUUCUGAUAUAUAACAUAAUUUUCAUUAAAAUGCAAUCAACAUAGAGCUCCUAGUGAAUAUUUGCUUCACUAAGAUGCAUGAAUAUGAUAGAACAUAAUAUACAGUAACUAAGAGAACAAUGUAAGAUAUUAUUACCAUUGAGAAUGUAAGAAUAUGCAUGUACUUACUUGGGUUUGAGUUAUGUUGCUAUUAUGAUCAUUCUUUGUUCUCAAUAAAUUCAGGUGUCAAUGGAUGUAAGAACACAGGAAAUUAAUACAGGGUGCAGGGGUAUUGCUUGGUAUGCUAUUGAAAUCCUUCAAAAUGGUUUCUAUUAGCUUUUUUUGAGCUUGUGUGUUCAUGCUAAGCUUGGCCUCCUCGUCUCCAUUUUUCUGCAAAUCAAAUGAGAAUCAAUUCAAAACAAAUGAGAAGCAAUCAGUCCUUCAAAUGUCCAUAACUAUCAAAAAUGGAGAAAGUGAAUACUCCGUGUAGAUGUGGGUGCAGAACCAUCUAUUUAUAGGCUUUAUCUUUUUAAAA